rnacentral:rRNA from 1 species
GAUGAACGCUGGCGGCGUGCCUAAUACAUGCAAGUCGAGCGAACGGACGAGAAGCUUGCUUUUCUGACGUUAGCGGCGGACGGGUGAGUAACACGUGGAUAACCUACCUAUAAGACUGGGAUAACUUCGGGAAACCGGAGCUAAUACCGGAUAAUAUGUUGAACCGCAUGGUUCAAUAGUGAAAGACGGUCUUGCUGUCACUUAUAGAUGGAUCCGCGCUGCAUUAGCUAGUUGGUAAGGUAACGGCUUACUAAGGCAACGAUGCAUAGCCGACCUGAGAGGGUGAUCGGCCACACUGGAACUGAGACACGGUCCAGACUCCUACGGGAGGCAGCAGUAGGGAACCUUCCGCAGUGGGCGAAAGCCUGACGGAGCAACGCCGCGUGAGUGAUGAAGGUCUUCGGAUCGUAAAACUCUGUUAUUAGGGAAGAACAAAUGUGUAAGUAACUAUGCACAUCUUGACGGUACCGAAUCAGAAAGCCACGGCUAACUACGU